rnacentral:rRNA from 1 species
GUGAGGAAUUUUCCGCAAUGGGCGAAAGCCUGACGGAGCAAUGCCGCGUGAAGGAUGAAGGCCUAUGGGUUGUAAACUUCUUUUCUCAGAAAAGAAUUAUGACGGUAUCUGAGGAAUAAGCAUCGGCAAACUCUGUGCCAGCAGCCGGGGUAAGACAGAGGAUGCAAGCGUUAUCCGGAAUGAUUGGGCGUAAAGCGUCUGUAGGUUGUUUAAAAAGUAUUCUGUCAAAGAUUAGGGCUUAACCCUAGAUAGGCAGAAUAAACUUUUAAGCUAGAGUUAGGUAGAGGCAGAGUGAAUUCCCGGUGGAGCGGUGAAAUGCGUAGAUAUCGGGAGGAACACCAAAGGCGAAGGCACUCUGCUGGGCCAAUACUAACACUGAGAGACGAAAGCGAGGGGAGCAAAUGGGAUUAGAAACCCCGGUAGUCC